AGCGUCAUUGGGAGUCUUCGGAGGAUUCCAGUGGGGAAAAUGCUGUGCAGAGGAUCCGCGUGGACGUCUCCGACGAAUUGGAUGCAGUAAAUCAUGAAAGUAUGCCGACGGUAAACACGGCUGAGGACAAAGCUUGCAAAAGAGAGGAGGCUGUGUGCAGCGCUUCGGAACAGUUGUUUGUGUUCUUCACUGUUUUUCACUGUUUAAGUUCUUCACUGUUUGCCUUCAGUUUCUGCCUUCAAAAUAAAAUGAUUAUAGCCAGCAA
rnacentral:lncRNA from 1 species